UGGGGAAUAUUGGACAAUGGGCGCAAGCCUGAUCCAGCCAUGCCGCGUGGGUGAAGAAGGCCUUCGGGUUGUAAAGCCCUUUUGUUGGGAAAGAAAAGCAGUCGGUUAAUACCCGGCUGUCAUGACGGUACCCAAAGAAUAAGCACCGGCUAACUUCGUGCCAGCAGCCGCGGUAAUACGAAGGGUGCAAGCGUUACUCGGAAUUACUGGGCGUAAAGCGUGCGUAGGUGGUGAUUUAAGUCAGAUGUGAAAGCCCUGGGCUCAACCUGGGAACUGCAUUUGAUACUGGGUCACUAGAGUGCGGUAGAGGAUAGCGGAAUUCCUGGUGUAGCAGUGAAAUGCGUAGAGAUCAGGAGGAACAUCCGUGGCGAAGGCGGCUAUCUGGGCCAGCACUGACACUGAGGCACGAAAGCGUGGGGAGCAAACA
rnacentral:rRNA from 1 species